rnacentral:rRNA from 1 species
UACGUAGGGGGCAAGCGUUAUCCGGAUUUACUGGGUGUAAAGGGAGCGCAGGCGGCUUUGCAAGUCUGAUGUGAAAGGCCAGGGCUCAACCCUGGGACUGCAUUGGAAACUGUAAAGCUAGAGUGCCGGAGAGGUAAGCGGAAUUCCUAGUGUAGCGGUGAAAUGCGUAGAUAUUAGGAGGAACACCAGUGGCGAAGGCGGCUUACUGGACGGUAACUGACGCUGAGGCUCGAAAGCGUGGGGAGCAA